CCGCAAACCGACACUGGUGCGCGAGAUGAGUAUUCUAAGGCGCUUGAGAGAACUCAGGAGAAGGAACUCGGCAAAUUGACACCGUAACUUCGGAAGAAGGUGUGCCUUUAGUAGGUGAACCAUUUACUUGGGGAGCCCAAUGAGGUUGCAAAAAAUCGGUGGCUGCGACUGUUUAUUAAAAACACAGCACUCUGCAAACACGAAAGUGGACGUAUAGGGUGUGACGCCUGCCCGGUGCUGGAAGGUUAAUUGAUGGGGUUAGCGUAAGCGAAGCUCUUGAUCGAAGCCCCAGUAAACGGCGGCCGUAACUAUAACGGUCCUAAGGUAGCGAAAUUCCUUGUCGGGUAAGUUCCGACCUGCACGAAUGGCGUAACGAUGGCCACACUGUCUCCUCCUGAGACUCAGCGAAGUUGAAAUGUUUGUGAUGAUGCAAUCUCCCCGCGGAAAGACGGAAAGACCCCAUGAACCUUUACUGUAGCUUUGUAUUGGACUUUGAACAGAUCUGUGUAGGAUAGGUGGGAGGCUUUGAAGCCGGGACGCUAGUUUCGGUGGAGCCAACGUUGAAAUACCACCCUGGUGUGUUUGAGGUUCUAACCUAGGUCCAUUAUCUGGAUCGGGGACAGUGCAUGGUAGGCAGUUUGACUGGGGCGGUCUCCUCCCAAAGUGUAACGGAGGAGUUCGAAGGUACGCUAGGUACGGUCGGACAUCGUGCUAAUAGUGCAAUGGCAUAAGCGUGCUUAACUGCGAGACUGACAAGUCGAGCAGAUGCGAAAGCAGGACAUAGUGAUCCGGUGGUUCUGUAUGGAAGGGCCAUCGCUCAACGGAUAAAAGGUACUCUGGGGAUAACAGGCUGAUACCGCCCAAGAGUUCAUAUCGACGGCGGUGUUUGGCACCUCGAUGUCGGCUCAUCUCAUCCUGGGGCUGUAGCCGGUCCCAAGGGUAUGGCUGUUCGCCAUUUAAAGAGGUACGUGAGCUGGGUUUAAAACGUCGUGAGACAGUUUGGUCCCUAUCUUCCGUGGGCGCUGCAGAUUUGAGGAAGCCUGCUCCUAGUACGAGAGGACCGGAGUGGAC
rnacentral:rRNA from 1 species